ensembl:lncRNA
ACCCAGGGACAGGAAGGAUCCUCAGGUAAUUUCCCUCCAAGGCGUGUCUGUUGAUCAGUGAGAGGCAGGGGGCAAUAAGACACCUUUCUGAAACGAGAGCUUUGAAUGACCCGGGGGUUCCUUUCAGGGGGAUGUCACAGCUGACUGGGGACAAACAAGUGAAUAGACUCUGUCAGGAGUUAAAAGCUGAGCGGGGUGGGAAAGGAAGCAAUGUUUCCACGGGUCUCAUAGGAGCCAGGAUUCAAAACAGGAGAGGACUGGGCAGUCUCACCGGUGAGAACACGGGCUGAACACAGGUGAGGGCAGAGGACUAGUGUUGGAGGCUGGGGCGCCUGUGGACAAAAGAGCACUGGUGGCUCAGAGCUGGAGAAGUGUGAUUUGGGGCAGUGCUCAGAAUUGGGGUUUGCAUCCUCCUUCCAAGGAGUGUCAGUAACUCGAUAGAACAGAAGCAAAGCUCAGCCCCCAGAACAGAGACCCAGGCAUUGAGAGGGACCCCAGACACGAUGAUGUCUUGCAGCCGUGCUGUCCAGUACCGGUGCCUGUGACCGUCAGCAGGGCCCCUAUCUGUCCUGUCCUGUAUGGUAACCACUGGCCACAGGUGGCCUUUGACCCCUUGGCAUGUGGGCACAGGGAUGGAGAACCUCGAUGUUUGGUUUCAUUUAAGUUUAAUUCACUUACAAAGAAAUGAAAUAGCCAUAGGUAGCUCCUGGGAAUGGACUAGCCCAGCUGUAUAAUGUUAUAGAGUGACAUAGAAAGCUUGUAAAACACGUGAAAUGAUAUAAGCUAGAUUUUGGCCCUUUGAGGUUAAGACGUUUGUCGUUUCCCAUUUCUGACAUCAUUGGGCACUGUCUGCCUUACUGGGAAGCUGGAUGUGUAGAACCUUGUUGAGGAUGCCCGAGAGGGUGUCAUGGCCCAGGCGGCUCUGGCCUCAUCGGCUCUGGCAUUUCACGGGGUGUGUUUUUCCAUCUGUUACAGUUACCUGACCAAUUUUAAUUGAACGUUUUCGUGUCGUGUUUCUCAAGUGCCCGCAACCUUUUAAAAUGCUUGGCCUGAUGGCAGCUCAUUUUCGAGAGCAGAUUUCUUUUUCGGGUGGCUGAGAGGAGGCAGCUCCAAAAAAGUCAUUUCAUGCUUGGAGAUGUGUGCUGCUGGCACGGACGUCGGCCGUGGGCACAGCCGUCAAGGCCAGGACGUGCCUGCACAGAGAAAGGUCAGCACAGCGAGAGGAGAAACGUCCCCUGAGAGCUGGGAGGUCAGCGCUAGAGCCGCAGGGACGGGGGAGGCUUUUAAAGAAAAACCCCACCAAAGCAGGGAGUCCACACCAGAGGGAAGCCCUUCCCAUGUACCCGUGGAAGGAGACUGAGAAGUUAGGUAUCAUCUCUGAGAUGGGGCCUCCUCUUGUGUACACAUAACCCAGGGUAGCGGAUCAGAAAACACUGUUGACCCCAUCCCACUCUGUAUCAGCCUUCAGGAGCCCAGGGUCUAGAGAGAACCCAGGUGGACAAAGCAGUUGUGUUGACAUGAGAAGAAAUGACCUCUGUGCCAUGUUGGAGGAAAGCCAUAAUUCUGUUCUCUCCAAGGGUACCCAGAAUAGGGAAGGAACAAACCCUGUCAAAUUCAAAGAAGACGUGACCUCCCCCCAACACCCCCAGAGACAGGACGCCCAGCUGGCAGUUGGUGGAUGAGAAUCCACAAGUGUCUAGGUGCAGUCUGAGAUGUUUCUGGCUUCCAUGGGCUUUUUAAGGAAAACAAGCUAGUUAUUUCUGUGUUCUACAUUCGCAAGUCAAACGAUGAAAAGAAUUAAGAUCUCCUAGAUGGUGUAACAAGGAGAAUUUCUAUCAAAAUCAUAUUUUUUUAACGUAGCACUAAUUUUGUUUUUUAAAAAUUAAUGUAUUCAUUUACAGGUGCACAACAAUCACCACAACCAAAUUUUACAGCAUUUCCAUCCCCAACCCCCAGCCCAGCCCCCCACCCCACACCUGGUCUCCUUUGGAAACCAUACGUUUUUCAAAGUCUUGUGAGUCAGUAUCUGUUCUACAAAGAAGCUCAUUGUGUCCUUUUUUUCGAUUCCACAUGUAAGUGAUAGCAUUUGAUGUUGGUGUCUCAUUGUCUGACUGACGUCACGUAGCGUGGUCAUUUCUAGGUCCAUCCAUGUUGCUGCACAUGCCGUUAUUUAUUUCCUGUUAAUGGCUGAGUAAUAUUCCUUUGUGUGUAUGUACCAUAGUUUUUUUUGUUAAUUGAGAAUAGACUUGUGGAGUUCCCGUCGUGGCGCAGUGGUUAACGAAUCCGACUAGGAACCAUGAGGUUGCGGGUUCGGUCCCUGCCCUUGCUCAGUGGGUUAACGAUCCGGCGUUGCCGUGAGCUGUGGUGUAGGUUGCAGACGCAGCUCGGAUCCCGCGUUGCUGUGGCUCUGGCGUAGGCCGGUGGCUACAGCUCCGAUUGGACCCCUAGCCUGGGAACCUCCAUAUGCCGCGGGAGUGGCCC